rnacentral:rRNA from 1 species
UACGGGGGGGGCUAGCGUUGUUCGGAAUUACUGGGCGUAAAGCGCACGUAGGCGGCUUUGUAAGUUAGAGGUGAAAGCCCGGGGCUCAACUCCGGAAUUGCCUUUAAGACUGCAUCGCUAGAAUUGUGGAGAGGUAAGUGGAAUUCCGAGUGUAGAGGUGAAAUUCGUAGAUAUUCGGAAGAACACCAGUGGCGAAGGCGACUUACUGGACACAUAUUGACGCUGAGGUGCGAAAGCGUGGGGAGCAAACAGG